CCACCACUCUAGUACAGAUUGAUCUUAGUUUAAACUGUUCAAAAAAUGCUGGCUUUUUUAGAUGUUUUUUUUGUCAAAUUUUAAUAUGACUUUCUAUUCUUGAGGCUUAUGAAUUGUUUACACCUUGUGGUGAACCCUCUGUAUUUGCUCCUGUGAAGUUUUCUCUUCAUGGUUGUAGCAGAGAGCUUAUUCUACAGAGACUAUCUCCGCUGGUAAUCCAAUAGUGGCUCAGGAACAAGUAAUUAACCCAGGAAAUACAGCAUCAGUAGUAACUAAAAUAAUAAUAUCCCAUCACCUUUCCCUAUAAUAACUGGACGACACACAGUAUCAGGAGCAGAACUGCUGUUUUAUUCCACAUACCCUGCUUUUAUGCCUCUCUCCCCUGCAAGGGAGACACCCCAGAAAAUUAUACAGUAUCCAAUCAUACACAGGUUACAACCCACACAUCUCCCCUCAGCCUGACAGAUAAUCAAAUUAUUCAGUACACACUUUUCCCCGUUUUCUGGAUGUACCCCAAAUACAUAGG